AUUAAAGAUAAAUUCUGCCCAAUGAAUAUAUUUAAAUGGCUGCAGUAUUUUAACUGUACAAAGGUAGCAUAAUCAUUAGUCCUUUAAUUAAGGACUGGUAUGAAUGAAUAAAUGAGGUUUUUAUUUUAUUAAAUAUUUCAAUUAAAAUUUAAUUUUUUGGUAAAAAAUCCAAAUUAAAUUUUUGGGACGAAAAGACCCUAUAGAACUUUAUUUUAAUUAAUAAUUAAUAUUAUUAUAAUUAAUAACUAUUAAUUAAAAUUUUGUUGGGGUGACAAAUAAAUUUAAACUUUAUUUUAUUUAAUCAUAAAUUUAUGAAUACUAUUAAUUUUUAUAAAAAAGAAUAAGUUACCUUAGGGAUAACAGCGUAAUUAAAAUGGAGAGUUCUUAUCAAUAUUUUUAUUUGCGACCUCGAUGUUGAAUUAAGAUUUAUUAUAGGGGUAGAUUUUUAUAAAUAGAGUCUGUUCGACUUUU
rnacentral:rRNA from 1 species